rnacentral:rRNA from 1 species
GUUGAACGCUGGCGGAAUGCUUUACACAUGCAAGUCGAACGGUAGAGGGGGCAACCCCUCGAGAGUGGCGAACGGGUGAGUAAUAUAUCGGAACGUGCCCAGUCGUGGGGGAUAACGUAGCGAAAGUUACGCUAAUACCGCAUACGAUCUAAGGAUGAAAGCGGGGGAUCGCAAGACCUCGCGCGAUUGGAGCGGCCGAUAUCAGAUUAGGUAGUUGGUGGGGUAAAGGCUCACCAAGCCAACGAUCUGUAGCUGGUCUGAGAGGACGACCAGCCAGACUGGAACUGCGACACGGUCCAGACUCCUACGGGAGGCAGCAGUGGGGAAUUUUGGACAAUGGACGCAAGUCUGAUCCAGCCAUUCCGCGUGCAGGAUGAAGGCCCUCGGGUUGUAAACUGCUUUUGUACGGAACGAAAAGGUCUCUCUUAAUACGGGGGACUCAUGACGGUACUGUAGGAAUAAGCACCGGCUAACUACGUGCCAGCCGCCGCUGUAA